rnacentral:rRNA from 1 species
UACGUAGGGGGCAAGCGUUGUCCGGAUUUAUUGGGCGUAAAGAGCGUGUAGGCGGCCAGACAAGUCUGCUGUGAAAACUCGAGGCUCAACCUCGAGCUGUCGGUGGAAACUGUCUGGCUAGAGUCCGGAAGAGGAGAGUGGAAUUCCUGGUGUAGCGGUGAAAUGCGCAGAUAUCAGGAAGAACACCUAUGGCGAAGGCAGCACUCUGGGACGUGACUGACGCUGAGACGCGAAAGCGUGGGGAGCGAACAGG